UAACACUCUCUUCACAAAAAAAUUGAAGAAUCCUCUCAACCCCUUUUCCCUUUCCAAGAUCCGGCACCCAAACUAGUUGUCGACCGUCGCAGGUUCUGCCACCGUCGACCGCCGUGCGCGGCGGUCGGAACUCCAAAAGUCACCGAUUUUUGACGAUUAACCAGGGUGUCAGAAGAGCUGGUGGUACGGGCGAUGGGACGGGGGCCGACGUGCACGUGGAGGGCGGCGCGGCGCAAAAGGGGAAAGACCCUAAGUGGGACCGGGCAAAAAUGGGCUUUUACAGUCACGUUCGGAUUUAAACCGGGGA